rnacentral:rRNA from 1 species
GACGAACGCUGGCGGCGUGCCUAAUACAUGCAAGUAGAACGCACAGUUUAUACCGUAGCUUGCUACACCAUAAACUGUGAGUUGCGAACGGGUGAGUAACGCGUAGGUAACCUGCCUGGUAGCGGGGGAUAACUAUUGGAAACGAUAGCUAAUACCGCAUAAUAUUGAUUAUUGCAUGAUAAUUGAUUGAAAGAUGCUAUUGCAUCACUACCAGAUGAACCUGCGUUGUAUUAGCUAGUAGGUGAGGUAACGGCUCACCUAGGCGACGAUACAUAGCCGACCUGAGAGGGUGAUCGGCCACACUGGGACUGAGACACGGCCCAGACUCCUACGGGAGGCAGCAGUAGGGAAUCUUCGGCAAUGGACGAAAGUCUGACCGAGCAACGCCGCGUGAGUGAAGAAGGUUUUCGGAUCGUAAAGCUCUGUUGUAAGAGAAGAACGGGUGUGAGAGUGGAAAGUUCACACUGUGACGGUAUCUUACCAGAAAGGGACGGCUAACUACGUG